ensembl:lncRNA
CCACGGCCACUGGAUCGAGACCAAAGUCAGCCCCGAGUUUGAAAGAUGGUGAUUUGUCUCCAAAUUUCCUUUGCAUUCUUUACAAAUCAUACAAAAACAAAAACCAUAAAGUCAACCAGAAAAGUAGGAAACACCAGGUGCCCGGUGCCAGGGAAAAAAAAUAUCCCUGCACACCGUGGUUCCCACCCCGCUGCUGGGCCAGGCAGAUCCCUCCCGCCAGGUGCAUUUCCGGACACCCGGACCCGCCCCGCCUUCCGGCUUUGACUCAACAGCCCUCCUUCACACGGCAGCCCGACCCUCCUCUCCCUCCCGGGGACUCCAGCUCCACAGGAAUCCGCACCAACUUACUUUGGGCCCUGCCCUUUUCUUCAGCACACAGCUCCUCCGCUGGCCGCUCUCUCCUAAGGGCACCCCCCACCCCGCCCCAUUCACUAGAAUGUGUCCUUACAGAUCCCCAGGCCCCGCUCCCAGCAAAGAGCUUCCUUGCCAGAACUGUUCAUUGCAAGAUGUCCAAGUCAGAUGUCUUUCUGGUGCCGGGGCCAAGGCCCCCUCCCCCAGGGCACCCACUCGGGAUAUUCUUGGGGAGCCUUAUCCAACCCUUGUCCGUUACCCGGACUUCCGCCCGGCGCAAGACAAGCACCGGGUAUUUGUUGAACGGGCAUUAUUAUUAUUAUUAUCAUUCGCUGCAAAGAAAGGCAGAGAGAGAACUUUGGAAGUGACCAUCCUAGACCUGACUAUGGAGAUCACGAGGCUAGAAGUUCGCCAAGUGUUACAUUAUAUGCCUGUCGGGCAUGCAGAGCCGAACAAAACUCGUUGGUGUGUGUGUGAAACGAUGCCUCCUUCAAUGCAGAGACUGGGUUCUCCAGAAUUGUGGGUCAACCCCCCGCAGUAUCUUCCUUCCUUAACACCAUCCCCGCCACUGUGGGCUCAGAAUUCUAAUGCCUUCACCUACCGGCCCCCUGUGCUUCCUAACUUCUCUGUGCUUCCAUUGUUUUCCCUGGAAAUGCAGGUGCGUGUGUCUCAGGGAUCCUCCGAGGGGUUAAGUCAGUCAGCUACGCACAGAGCAGUAUGCACGUAGCUGAUAAUGCCCGACUCUAAGGACAGCAGUGCCCUUGGCUGUUAUUUCUCCCCUUUACCCCAAACAGGCACACUACAAGAUUCUCAACUUCCUCGACUUUGUGUAUAAUUGAUCUUCCUCUAUGGCAUACACGGCUGUUUUUCAAAAACAUAAAUCUGUCUCAUCCACAUUGGGAAGUUGCUCCGGUAAAUAUUUCCCCUCCUCAAAGGUACCCGUAUGAACGUAUGAACGGGUACCUGACUCCCAAGGUCUCUCAAAUUCCUCAUGGAAAUGUCGUUGAUCAGGAAGGAGGCAUAGUGAGAUGAACCCUAACACUUUUACUCCAGAUGCUCGGUAGGAGGUGAGAACGGCCCAGCACGGGGGCCGGAGCCUCACAGAGCACAUAAUCACCUUUCCCGGACUCUGUGUGACAGGACCUAUGGAAGAAUGUCAGGGGGAAGGGCGGUUGUGGAUCCAUGAAGAAUGGAAAUGAGCCUGCCCGCUCCGUGACGCCUGGGUCCCUGCUGAGAUGCAGACGUGAAAUCGAAUCAGAGGAGUUGAGAAGGAGCAUCUGGGGCUGGAAGGGGGUGUGCUCUUAGCCGGGGGUACACCUGAGCUAGUAAGUGUUUACGCAGUGACUUGUAUAUGACUUCAUUCCCGCUCUGACUUUGGUAAUGAGAUCGUCUGAGAAAGAGGACAUCCUCAUCGAUAAUAUAACUUGCAUCCAAUGCGUCUAGAAUAGAGUUGUUUUCUCUAGAGGCUUCCCGAUCAAUCGCCUCUUCUCCCACCCCCCAGAUCUCUGAACUUGUGUAAUACUGAGCUUGUUUCUGUGCGGACCAUGGCAUCGGUCACACUCACGUUUCGGAUAUUUACCGUCUGGUUGUUAGAUCUUAAGAUUCUGUAGAACAGUGAUGAGGCCGUUUUUCUCUGUACUCCCCCAUAGGGCCUUGGGCAUACUAAGCCCCCAGUAAAGAGUGAAAUCGUCCACUGUGAGUUCUAACCUGGGAGCACCCAUCCUGGCUCUCUCCAGCAACGAGCUGCCUGGGUCUCUCAAGGUCAUUUCCACUCAUUGCUGUUUGGCUUCUAGUCCGAUCCCUUCACAGGUGGUGACGUUGGGCCAUCUCCCCCAGAGGUUUUGUCAGAGGUUUAUCACGCCAGGCCCAUUUUAAAAGAUACCCAUUGUUCCUAAGUGUUUGUGACGCAUCAUUCCUCACGGAACAAGUGCCUUUUUGGUUACCUACUGGAGGCAAGAUUCUGGGCUCGCUGGUAAACAGGCUGCUGCCUAAAUGGUCCAGAGGCUGGAGAAACGCA